UGGCUUCAGUAGCACAUAUGCUGAAACUGGAAUGAUACAGAGAAGAUUAGCAUGGUCCCUGUGCAAUGAUGGCAUGCAAAUUUGUGAACCAUUCCAUAUUUAA